GUGAAACCGCGAAUGGCUCAUUAAAUCACACCUAAUCUACUGGAUAGUCAACAGUUACUUGGGUAACUGCGGUAAUUCUGGAGCUAAUACAUGCACAAAGCCCCGAACUUACGUGAGGGGUGCUUUUAUUAGAUCAAAACCAAACGGCUUCGGCUGUUCUCUUGGUGACUCUGAAUAACUUUGGGCUGAUCGCAUAGCCUAGCGCUGGCGACAUAUCCUUCGAAGGUGUGCCCUAUCAACUGUCGACUGUGGCAUAGACGCCCACAGUGGUUUUGACGGGUAACGGGGAAUCAGGGUUCGAUUCCGGAGAGGGAGCCUUAAAAACGGCUACCACAUCUAAGGAAGGCAGCAGGCACGCAAAUUACCCAAUGACCGAAGGUCGAGGUAGUGACGAAAAAUAACGAUACGGGACUCAUCCGAGGCCCCGUAAUCGGAAUGAUUACACUUUAAAACCGUCCCAGAGGACCCAUUGGAGGGCAAGUCUGGUGCCAGCAGCCGCGGUAAUUCCAGCUCCAAUAGCGUAUAUUAAAGUUGUUGUGGUUAAAAAGCUCGUAGUUGGAUCUCGGCAGUCCGAGGGCGGUUCGCUUGCUAGUGUUACUGCCUUAUGGACUGUAGUUUUGCCAGAGGUCUCUGGGUGCUCUUAACCGAGUGUCCAGUGAUGCUGGCAGGUUUACUUUGAAAAAAUUAGAGUGCUCAAAGCAGGCUUUCACGCCUGAAUAUUCGUGCAUGGAAUAAUGGAAUAGGAAGUCGUUUCUAUUUUGUUGGUUUUCGGAAAUCGACUUAAUGAUUAAUAGGGACAGUCGGGGGCAUUUGUAUUCAAACGACAGAGGUGAAAUUCUUGGACCGUUUGAAGACAAACUACUGCGAAAGCAUUUGCCAAGAAUGUUUUCAUUAAUCAAGAACGAAAG
rnacentral:rRNA from 2 species